CUGGGUCAUGGGCUCCGGCCCGCCAACCCGCCCUCUGUCAUGGAAAACGAAAUGCUUCGGCCGACGGUCCUGCGAGCGCCUGGCGAGAGCCACGGCGCGGACGGGGCCGCGGUCGGUCUCCUAAGCCCUGAGUGCAUGCUUGUGGUCUGAAUCUAAAGUAAAAACGAAACCA
rnacentral:misc_RNA from 1 species